rnacentral:misc_RNA from 1 species
GAAAUGCGAUAAGUAAUGUGAAUUGCAGAAUUCAGUGAAUCAUCGAAUCUUUGAACGCACCUUGCGCCCUUUGGUAUUCCGAAGGGCAUGCCUGUUUGAGUGUCAUUAAAUUAUCAACCUUGCUCGCUUUUACUAGCUUGAGUUAGGCUUGGAUGUGAGGGUUUUGCUGGCUUUUGUGGUCUGCUCCCUUUAAAUGCAUUAGUGGGAUCUAUUGUGGACCGUCACUUGGUGUGAUAAUUAUCUAUGCCUUUUGACUUUGAAACAAACUUAUUGGAACCUGCUCAUAACCGUCCUUCACGGGACAACUUUUGACAAUUUGACCUCAAAUCAGGUAGGACUACCCGCUGAACUUAA